rnacentral:rRNA from 1 species
GAUGAACGCUGGCGGCGUGCCUAAUACAUGCAAGUCGAGCGAACGGACGAGAAGCUUGCUUCUCUGAUGUUAGCGGCGGACGGGUGAGUAACACGUGGAUAACCUACCUAUAAGACUGGGAUAAUUUCGGGAAACCGGAGCUAAUACCGGAUAAUAUUUUGAACCGCAUGGUUCAAAAGUGAAAGACGGUCUUGCUGUCACUUAUAGAUGGAUCCGCGCUGCAUUAGCUAGUUGGUAAGGUAACGGCCUACCAAGGCAACGAUGCAUAGCCGACCUGAGAGGGUGAUCGGCCACACUGGAACUGAGACACGGUCCAGACUCCUACGGGAGGCAGCAGUAGGGAAUCUUCGGCAAUGGGCGAAAGCCUGACGGAGCAACGCCGCGUGAGUGAUGAAGGCCUUCGGAUCGUAAAACUCUGUUGUUAGGGAAGAACAUAUGUGUAAGUAACUGUGCACAUCUUGACGGUACCUAAUCAGAAAGCCACGGCUAACUACGUG